UUAAUUAAUAUUCACAGCUUUCAGCUGGUGUGCUAACUCCUCAUAUGGUAGUGGGACAUUCUGCUAAGUGCUGUGAAAUGACAGCAGUUGUGAUAAAUGUAGCUUAGAUAUUAAAAUAUUUUAGGCAGCAAUGGUAUUCCAGCUGAUAAAGCACCUGUUUAAAAUAAUGGUUUUAUUUAGAGUUUCUAAGACAGGUAAACAACCAAAGGAGUCCAUCAAACACACUACAGGAAAAAAGAUCAGAAACCUGGAAACUUCCUAUUCUUGCACCCACUGCAUCACAGUUGCAUUAAGCAAGGGACAGAAUUUUUUCAGUGGUUUGGUUUGGUAGUGCUCAUCAUUUGAAAAGGUUUCUAUUUGGUGAUACAAUGUAAUGCAUCAUGGUGGUCCAGUUGCCUGAAACAUUGCUCCUUAACCCUUCCAGCAAAGACUUAAAAACUGGAUCUCUUCUUGCUCAUUUCAUACUGAAAUCCCUGAAUAUCUUCUGGAAAACACAUUUAUGGGAGCAAAGCAUAUGUUCUCAAAGCCUUCAGCAGCAGGCCUGAACGUCUUCUGAAAUUCUGAUAGCUCCCCAGAAAUUCAGUUCCUGAUUAUCCUCUAAAGCAAAUGGACAGAGGGGUUCUAUGCCACAGAACAGUUCUUUUUUUAGCAUAUGACUGUUUCUAUGAAUUUAUUUAAAAAGCAGUAAUGUUUGUUUAUUUUUUUUUCCUUUAAAAGUGAAUUAAUGAAGCCAGGGAUUUUUAUAAUGGGUAUACACUGGCUGACAUUUUGAGUGUCUACAACAGUUUCUGAGUUAUUUUAGAGGUUUCUAUACUCAUGCCUUUAUUUCAUUAGCAUUCAUCCUAAAGAAACAAAAGUGGAAGUAACUAGCUGUUACUAGAAAGAUAUGAAACCUUAAAAGAAUGCGAAGAUUUCAUUUUGUGAGAGACAAGGCUCUCCAAAAAGGAUAUAACACUCCUUCCUCUGUGAAUUAGUUCUCACAUUAUCAGCUGCAAGACUAUACAAAGAAAAUUAUUUUAGCUUUAGGAUUUAAAUAUGGUGAUUUUAUGAUGCAGAAUCGAUGUCCUGAGUAAUCAGGAUGGAGGGAUGAAGCAGUCAUCACCAAUGUGAGCUAUAACUUAAAAUAUUUCAGUUCAUGCUCUUCUAAUCAUAUAAAUCGUUUAUAUUUUGUUGUUAAUAGCAUACCUGUUCUAUGAGAGUUAUCUCACACUUCAGCUGUUGCAGCGUGAGGACUCUUCUAAGAACUUUAUUCUGUUUAAACAAGUGAUGAGUAAAAUUCCUCACAAUUACUGAUUUUUGAUUAUUAUUUCUCCAGGGAGGAGAAGGCUAUAAGAUAAAUUGAAAGUAACUGGAAAAAAAAACAUUGACUUUCCUCUUUAUUUUAUGAAAUUGCUUUGUUAGGUAUUUUUUGCUUUUUUUUUUUUUUUUUUUUUUUCCUUAAAAACUGUCCUCAAUAUGCUCAUAAAAUAGAGGAUAUAUAUUUUUAAUUUUAGUUUGGCUUUAUGCUUGCAACCUAGAGCCAGUACCUUAUACAGCACGGUUUUGCAAGCUGCCAUUUUUCUUUAAUGCAAAAGUAUGCCAUCAUGUUUCGUUAGAUUCAGUGCCUUCAAAGUAGUUUCUGCUAAAGUUACGCUUUUUCUUUUUAAAUCACAGUUGAUCGCCAGCUCUCUAAAUUCCCAUUUCUUGUCCUUCUGAAACACUAUUUAUAUGCUAUUAUUUUUCCCCUCCAUUUAGAGUUGCAAUAAUAAACUUAAAAUGUUAUAUUCAAGUUAAUAUCUUCUGCAGUGUUCAUGAAGAAGUAGUGCUGUAACUCAAGAAUAUCGUAUCUCAUAUCGUAUGCUUCUACAUUAUACGCUGCUCUGCUGUAAUAUUAACUGAGAAUAGAAACAGUAAAAAAAGCAACAAGACAAGGCAAUGGAAGGACAGAAGGCAAAGUUGAGUUUAGUCUCUUUUGUGUUUGAGUGUAUUUGGAGCAGCAAUACACAAAAGGCUGCUCUGAAUUUCACUUGCUCUGUUGAUGCCAAUAGCUGAAAAUUGCUGGAGUAGUAUAUGGUCUAGCCAUAUACAAGAAAUUAUAGCCAUACACAUAAAUUAAAUGGUAAAGUGGAACCCUGAAAUCCAGAUUUCAUUCAGAUAUGAUGAAAUAAGUCUUUUAUGUUACUUCUCUUUCUCUUCUGCUGCUGAUGGCUCCGUGUUGUCUUGCCCUUAGCUAAUCAGCUACCAAAGACCUAUGUCUUUAACGCUGAACCAUCUUGAGAGAAUCAUCAUUGUUCACUUUCUGUUAUGCAAUACUACAGACACUCACAAUGAAUUUGACUUCUGCUCGUUCCUAUCAAAGCCUAUAGCAAAAUUACAAUCAGGAAAAUGCCUUGGUUUAACAUAAGACGUUCUUUUCUCCAAAUAUCUGUAUGAAAUAUAAUUACUCUGUACAUGGCAUGUUCUGAAUAUCAUUGUUGGUUAUUGCUUUGUGCUAUGGGAAAUUUUUAAAAAUAAAAUAUUUAUUUCCUAGCUUACUUUAAUAACAUUUAACUAAUGGGCACUGAGAGAGGGCAUCACUUAAGAGAUGGUAGCUUUCUGCCCUUUCUAUCUUACUUGUGCUUUCAGCAUGUCAAUCAAUUGAUCUGCCAAAAUGCACUGUUUUUGUCAGAACUCUCUUCCGGGCUGCUGGGACUAAGGAAAGCUGUUGAAAGCACUGCUGCACUGCUUUUACAGUUUCUGUGACUUGAGUGGUCACAAAAUAAAUGCCAAAGGGAAAAAAAAAAAAAAAGUAUUUGAUAUUAUUAUUGUUAGUUUUGAUAUUCUAUUUAUUUUUUUUAUUAGCUUAUUGGAAAGAAAUAAGUGCUUUGACUUACGUUGUUUCUUCUGUCAUCUGAGAGAAAAAAAGGAAAAGGGAUGACUCCCAUCUCUAGACAAAAACAAAUAGUUUGACAUAUCUUUUUAAGAUUUACCUCAGCUCAUUUCCUCUAGCUUUACACAAGUUGGAUGAAAAUGACACAGCUUGUUCACACUGAAUCACAGUGAAUUCCCUUUCAGGGGGAAUGCAAAAGAACAUCAGUCGCAUCCCUCAAUGAAUUACAACCAUUGUUUUUGAUUUCCUAGUGAGUAAUUGAAGGCUUUUACAACUAGAAGAAAUAAUUUAUAGAGCCAUGAAAAAAAGAAUUAACUUUUCUGAGUGCUUCAUUGAUGUUUUAAGGCAUCUACUUUAUUCCAAUUAAAUUUAUAUAAUCUAAAAUCACUGAACUUCUUUAUUUUAAUGAAUAAAUUAUGGAGUAAAAUAAUUUGUUUAGCCUGUGUGAACUGCCUUGUUUCCACAUAUUUUAUCUUUCUAAUCUCUGCAAGGAAAGGAAGAAUUCAAAAUGCUAUUAAGCUCAAUGCAGACAGAAACCUCCCAGUGCCUUCAGAGGCUGCACAGAAGCCUGUCUUUGGGAAGGAGUCUAGGAGUUUUCCUGCUGGGUUAGACCUAUAUCCAUCUAAUAAACUGUUCUACCACUUACAGUGUCUACUACCAAAUGCCUUAACAGAAGGCAUAGAAACAUUCAGGACAUCUGGUAUAUCUGUCCCCUAAGUUAUUUUUAUUUUAUUAUUUUUUGUAAUGCUUAGAGAAUUUCUCAAACUCACAAUAAGCCUUAAUUAUCUACAUGUAUCAUAAAAUCUGUUCUCUUUUUCUGUUUUUGUUUUGUUUUGUUUGUUUGUUUUUUCCAUACAGUGUGUAUGUUUCUCAUCUGAGAAUAGUAGGAUUUUAUUUUCAAUUCAGAUCAAUAUAUAUCGAUUUAUCUUUUGAGAAUACCUGGCUAAGUAAAGAUAAAUGAAUCUAAUGAAAUCUGAAGUGAUGUUCUUAAUAGCCAUAAAUCGUUUAAAAAAUAUAUAAUACAAUCUUUAUUCAUGGGAAAAAAAUCUGUCUGGACACUGAACACAGCAUGGAGAUGGUAAGGCCAUCAGUUAAAUAACAGUGACCAGAACAGGUCCCUGUUACCAUGUCAGCAAUAAUCAUCAUGUCUCUUGAGCUAGCUCAGGAUGGGAUCCACUAAGACGAGAAUUCCAAACUUGUUCAAGAUGCUUAGUUUUUACCAAGUUGAUCUCAAAUUAUCCUAUUCAAGAUGAAUUUUUAUACUAUAAUAACAUUGUGUCUGAGCCCUGAAAUAUUUUAGAUAGGCAAGGUUUUUUAUUUCUAUUUGAUGAAUCACGCAUGGGUUCACCGUGAAAUAUGAGAAAACUGAACUAAAUCCUGUGAAACUAAAGGAAGCAUUAAGUUGUCAUUCUUCAGAAAAUAAUCAAAAGGUCUGUUUGGGGCAGAUGAAAUACUGAUUAAGAAAUACCUAAAUCUUAGGAGAAUUGGAAAUAGAAAAAUUAUCAAUUUUUUUCUAGUCAAUCUUUUAUGUCUCAGUUUAAGUUUCCUCUCUAAAACAUAAAAUAAAUUCACAAUCCUAAAUUACAAUAGUGAAUUGCUAGCCUGCAAAAUUCCUUACUAGAAAAGUAUAAGUAUUAGGUACUUUUUCUUGUAGAACUUUACAACUUCACCUUACAAGCAGGCGUUGAACACAUAACGAUUGAACACAUAUUUAAACUGAAAAAUUCUUUCGUGUGUGUAAGCUUAACUUUCUUACUGAUCAUUUUCAAAACUCUGCUGAUUUUUUCCUUCCACAAGUGUAUAAGAGGAACUUUUGCUGUAAAGAUGACAGGAGAAAGACAGGGAGAUUUUAACACAUUUUUUUCUGGUAAUUCAGUCAUGAUGGAAAAACAUUCUAUUCAUAUGAUAAUCUUCUAAAUCUACAGCUAGCUAUAAUCAUGCUUUUAUUUGGUCUAAGAAACAUCUUUAACUUGGUGGACUUGGCAGUUUUAGGUGAAAGAUUGGACCAGAUGGUCUUAGAGGUCUUUUUCCAAUCUAAAUGAUUCUGUAAUUGCAUGUCAUUCAGCAGAUUGUCUUUGCUAUUUCAGAGAGAAAGUAUCACAGCAUUCCUAAAUUUGGAGUCACCGUUUUUCAGUAGUUCAGUUUAUCCUUUUAAGUUGUUCUGGGAAGGUAUAGUGAAAGGUUAAGUUCUGUAUUAAAGAAACUCAGGAGACCUUACAUUUUAGAUAAAAUGUCUGCAGUCUUGAAUCUUACUAGUUAAGUUUAACGCAAAACUAUAAUUUCAAAUUGCUUUCAGAAUAAACCAUUGUAAUUUCUUCUUUACAACUGCUGGAAAGAUUUCAUCUUCAUGUCUUCAAGUGUUAGAAGAAACCUCUUAAUCAUUGCCGGAGAGCUAAUUAAGCUAACGUAAUAUUUUCACUUUUAUAUGGCAUCUACUAUUACUAUCUGGUUGUAGCAUAAAAUAACUUUAAAGUCCUCUAAAGAAUAAUUCCAAUUACUAUUUCAUCGAAAGCUUAAAUCUGAAUAACAAAUGGUUCCAGAAAUGCUUUCAAUGAAUAAAAAAUAGAAUGAAUAAAAAAUAGAACAUCAUUUAAAAGGUAUAAGUUCUAAAAGCUGUGUUUCAUCCCUGAAUAUAUUAAUGCGAUCUAUUGUCUUUUCUGAAGUUUGUUCAUUGGUGACAGCAAAUAAAUAAAUAAAUAAAAGGGAAAAUCUGUAGUCAGCUUAAAUAACUCAUUUUAUUAAACUGAGGAGUACAUUUUUGCCACCCACAACCCGCCCUCCUCCUCCACUUCCCAGCAAAAUACACAUACACAAGACUAAUUCACAUGUUACAUAUAAAUGUAAUGUUCCUUGAAUGACAGAAGUUUUACCAAGUCCAAGAUUUUUUUUCUAUCUUUGAAGGAUAUUAUCUACAGCUUGAACAGAAUUUGGUCCUCAAAUAUAUAAAAGCAAGUGCAAUGACAGGAUGACUAUGAGGUCUGCAUCAGAGAUAGAAGUAUAAAAACAAAGCAGCUGAUGCAGCUGCUUUUUGCAGCUUUUGUGCAGUGAACAGCUCAAAGGAGACAAAGGCUGUAGUGCAAAAAUUUGUUAUAGUAAUCUAAGACAUAUCUGACACCAAAAUGCGUGGUCCAAUUAUACUUCAUAACCAUUUUUAACAGCAAGACAUUCCUGCCUUUUCUCUGAACAGUCCAGAACUGGAGCAUAUCUGACUCCACAAUGAAAGCCAAGCAGGCAUAAAACAUGGUUCAGGAUUGGAUUUUUGAUAUUUAAUUGGUUUGGGUUGGGUUUUUAUAAGGGUUAGUUUUGUUACCAUUUAUCUCCUCAUUUCCCUAGCUCAUCACGUGUGCAAAGAAACUGUCUGGGAGAGUCAAAGUAAGGGCUGAGCUCUACUACCACACUCAUCCUGAA